GAACACACUGCGCAGAGGAGGAAACGGAAGCUCACAAACCAGAAGGGACUUGCCCAGGACGGCACAGCCGGUGGGCUGAGAAACAUGCCAUUUCUGGAAGCCACGCUGUUGACUGUCUUUUUCCAUCACACUGAGGUCACCAGCUCAGCCCUCCAUUUGCUUUGUAAAAAUGGAGGGAAUGAUUGCUGAAGAAGGAAGCACUAGGAUGAAAUUCAUUUCACUCCACCACAAUCGCCAAGCAGCGUCUCCCCGCAGGACCAGCUACGUGUGCUCGAUCAGCGCCCGCUCCCUCCUGUCUUUGGAGCCAGAGUGAAGAGCACAGCACGCAGGCACGCAGCCUCCCCCUUCCCAGCCUCCGCAGCCUCGGUCGGUGCCUCUUCAUUAAGGAUUAGGAGUGGGUCGCCUGAAAGAUGAUUCUCAGCAAAGCAUUUCCUGAGAACGCAUCUGCAUGAUUCCACACCCCCUCCCUUCCAU